rnacentral:rRNA from 1 species
CGUCAUAUUAGCUACUUGGUGAGGCAAUGGCUCACCAAGGAUACGAUGGUUAGGGGCUCUUAGUGGAAGAUCCCCCCCAGAGGCAUUGAGAUACGGGCCAGACUCAUACGGGAGGCAGCAGUAGGGAAUAUUGGCCAAUGGGCGAAAGCCUGAACCAGCCAUGUCGCGUGCAGGAAGACAGCUUUUUGAGUUGUAAAAUGAUUUUGUACAGGAGCAAAACAAUCCCUGCGGGGGUUCUUGAGAGUACUGUAAGAAUAAGCACCGGCUAAUUCCGUGCCAGCAGCCGCGGUAAUACGGAAGGUGCAAGCGUUAUCCGGUUUUAUUGGGUUUAAAGGGUGCGUAGGCGGCUUAUUAAGUCAGUUGUGAAAUCCUAGUGCUUAACGCUAGAACUGCAAUUGAUACUAUU